CUGGGCCAGGCUCUCCCUGCCUAAUUUGGUAAAUUUGUGCAAGAGGAAACAUACGCUGUGUCAUUCCUGUCACCAAGAUGAGGAGAAGGUUCUGUAAAGCAAGUUCUGCUAAAUUGCUACCUGGUCAUUAAAAAAAUGGUCCCUCAGUGCAUUUUGGACCAAUGCCAGAUAAUCCUAAUCAGCACAGGGGCUAAAUGAACCCUGGGGUCACUUGUCAGCCCUUGGACAGUUGGUCUGAAAUAAGCCUCAGGAAAUAGGAUCUAUGACAACAACCUCUUCAAGUAAAAAGGACAAUGGCCAAAUUAGCCCUGAGGGUAUAGGUUUCCAAGAUCCUGGCAGGAAGGGGAGACAUGCCGCCACUUCUAAGACACCUGAGCAAUUUCAUUUGUGCUCCUUACUGGCUGAAGGAGCCAUGGUGUCUACUGAGAGUGUUCUACAUGCUGAACACUGUUGCAGAAGAUUGCAGCACAUGAAUGAAAAGAUGGACAGUGUCUGUAGCAUUAACAACAACAAUGAAAACAACGACAAUGUUGGUAUAGUGAAGGGUGGUAGAAGCAACAUGAAAAAUUAAUCAAGCCAGGUGCUGUGGCUCAUGCCUGUAAUCCUAGCACUUUCGGAGGCCGAGACAGGCAGAUCACAAGGUCAGGAGAUUGAGACCAUCCUGGCCAACAUGGUGAAACCCCAUCUCUACUAAAAAUACAAAAAAAUUAGCUGGAUGUGGUGGUGCAUGCCUGUAGUCCCAGCUACUCGGGAGGUUGAGGCAGGAGAAUCACUUGAAUUCA
rnacentral:lncRNA from 1 species